AUAAUCUCAGAGAAGCUAAUGAACCGUCGUCGUCAGGAGGGAAUGACCGUCUGUUUAACUGGAUUUGGAAUCUGGAGGUGAUCCCUAAAGUCCGCCUCUUUCUAUGGAAAUGUCUGGUUGAAGCGUUGCCCACUUCUAGAGCUCUACUCUCAAGGUCAAUUUCUGUUGAUCCUUCCUGUCCUCGAUGCGGCGAUCACAUUGAAACGGUGGAACACGCUCUUAGAGAUUGUAGCUGGACUCGGUUCUUUUGGUCAGCUUCUCCUCUCUGCCUUCCACCAACGCCAAACGAAGAAAUUUGUUCUAUCCUGGAUUGGUUUGAAAAGAUCAGAGAGUCAAAUGAGAAGGAUGUCCAUAAAGUGUUUGCUAACUUGAUUUGGACGUUGUGGUAUGCUAGGAAUUUACUUGUGUUUCAAGGAAAAAUAUUAAGCCAUCAAGAGUGUUUUGACAUGGCCAAACGCAAUUUCUGGACCAAGCCAACGUGUAUGCCGGACUCUAAUCAGCCAACCGCUCAUAAGGUUAGCCGGAGUAGGGACAGCCAACUGGUGGUGGCCUGCGACGCUGCUGUAUUGAACGGAGCAGGGGUGGGGUAUGGAGCUGUGGUUACUAGUGCUUCCGAUUCGGUUGAGUGCUGUGGCUUCGGCUUCCUUCCUGGGGCGUUUUCUGUGAUUGAAGGUGAAGCUGCUGCUAUGCUUGAAGGAAUGCGGGUGGCUGUGGAUUACGGCUGGGAUGAUUUGAUUAUGGAAACGGACUGUCAAGAUCUUUAUUGGAGGCUUAC
rnacentral:lncRNA from 1 species